CGCGACAGCGGCUGCGGCGCCUCCUCGCCCUGCUCGGGCGCGUAGCUGGGGAACGUCUGUGCUCGCGACAUCUUGGACGAGCCAAACCCGUGGCCUAGGGAGGAAGAGAGCAGAGUCAGUCGUGCUGAGACACGGGUUCGGAAGAGCAAAACAAUCCCCAGAGCAGAAGCCUUCACACCCUAGGUAUGGAGCUCAAGGGCAAGAACAGAGAAGACAAUCUAUUAACAUAGAAACACCGAACAUCUUGUUGUCAGACUCCUCAGGUGGCCCUGUCCUUUGCAAUGUCACACACUUAAAGCUGGUUUCAUUGUCAGGGCCCUGAUGAUACAAUAAAGAAAAAAUGGAGUGGGGCAGAGGAGGGGAGAAGUUAGAUAGUUAGAAGGUAGGUUAGAGCAGGGGCUGAAGAAGGGGUCAGGGGAAGGGUCAGAGGUCAGAGGUGGAAACUCUGGAGCUAGAACACCAGGUAUAGAUGCUGCCUCUGCUACUUACUAGCUUGCAAUCCACCUUAAGGGGCUUACUUUGUCUCUGGGUUUCUUGGGUUUCUUAUCUGCAAAUUCUGCAUGAAAAUAAUGGUACUUAGCUUAAUAUAGUCCUUUUGAGUAUUGAAACAAUGAGUUAAUCCAUGCUAAGCACUGUCACCCUAGUAAAGAGAUAUGAUGUCAUAGUUAUCUCCAAGCGGGAGAGUUAACUAGGGAGGUGAAGGCCUCCCUAAGGAGGUGGCAUUUUGGCAUAAUGUUCAGAUGACAAAGUUCUGAUACACUGAUCUGAUAAGGGAAAAAGCUUUUACAGUUUUUAAUGAUUUUUGUCUCAUCAUAGCAUUGACUGUAGAUGACAAUUCAUGGUUCCUAUAAUUGAGGAUACUAGCAUUUAUCAGCAUAAGCCAUCUGGAAAGUCUAAUAUUAAGACCCUGUUUUCAGCCUUGGUUUUAUCCUGUUAUUUUUUAAAACUUUAGACAUAUCUGAAAGUGCAAUGCUGGGGCACUCCUUUAAUUUGCAUUACUGUGGGCUGAAAGCUGAGGCUUGAGAAUUCAAAAUAGACUUUGCCUAUGAACACAAUUUUUUAUCCUGGGUGUAAAAAGUCAGUUGCACAACUAGUGUUUACCAAUCAUCUACUGAGACAGUCCUAGACUCCCCAAGAAAGAUGAAGUGUGGAAGGUAUGGUCCCUGACUUUACAGAGUUCCAUGUGGUUUUGGGAAUGAUGAUCAGACAAAGACAGACAACCAUAAGCACCACAUGAAGUGGUCACACAGCCAGCGCCUUACAGGAUCAGAGGAGAAAGCUAGCAGGUGUGUUGUACUUGAACACUCACAAGUAACUUCCCCUUCACUGAGUGUGCAGACCCCACCAGUACCAGGGACUUUUGAAACAGACAGACUUGAGUCCUGCCAUACCUUGUAAGCCUCACUUUUCUGCAUGAGGAGAACAUGCCUUCCUAAGGUGUUUGGAGGAUUGUAGGAAACAACACCUGGGAAGACACCUGGGAUGACAGACAUGCAAUAAAUGUGAGUUUUAUUCUUUCUUUCGUAUACUUGUCAUUCUUUUUGUUCAAUGCUUAUGCUUUCUCCACUAUCUCAAUAUGCUGCCUGUCACUACUGCUCUGGUUUGAAUGCAUUUUCCAAAAUUCAUAUGUUGGAAACUUAAUUCACAAUGCAGCUGUGUUGGGAGAUAGGGCCUAAUAAGAGGUGAUUAGGUUAUGAGGGCUUUGCCCUCAUGGAUGGAAUAAUGUCAUUACCAUGUGAGCAGGUCAGUUAUCAUGAAAAUAUGACUCAAAUUGUACAAAAGUAAUUCAUGUAACCAAAAUGUUUGUACCCCCAUAAUACUCUGAAAUUAAAAAAAAACAUUAUCAUGAAAGUGGCUUAGUUAUAAAAGCAAGUUCUAUACCCUCUUAUUUUCUUGUAGUCUCUUGCUCUUCCGCCUCCCACCAUGGGAUGACACAGCAAGACGGCCGUUAGCCUUAGACUUCCCAGCCUUCAGAACUGUAAGAAAUACAGUUCUUUUCUUAUUAAUUAUCCAGUCUGUGGUAUCCUGUUACAGCAGCACAGAAAGGACUAAGACACUCAUAUGACAUAUUUUGAAUAUUUUUCUCUUUCAGUGUCAACAUGGUUUUCUUCACCUCCUCUAUGCAUAAUUUCUAGUCUAAUUAGAAAUAAAUUAUGAUUUUUCUUACUGCAACCAGUUUAUAAAUGAUGCUAUUAAAUGCUUGUCACAAAAAUAACAUACCUUAAUCAGAACUGUAUAUAUGAAGGCUUUGUAAGUGCUGUUUGAUUUUAGCAAUAAUGAGUGUGAGGAAAAAGAGAGAGAAAUAAUUAAGCAUUUUCUCAACAUUCGUUUGAAUUAUGCCCGUGGGCACUGUUGAUAAAAGCACAACAAAACCUGAUGGAACAGACAUGUUCAUUCCAUUAUUCAAGGAUUGUAGUUAAAUCCUUCCUAAAUUUUUCCUUCAGAUCACCCCCUACAGAUAGAUAAGGCCACUAUGUACCCUAGGGAUCUGGGGGAUGUUCCAAUUUAAAAGUAAUACAUAUGUUAAUCGCUAUCAGUCUAUUUUGAAAGUCCUCUUGAAUUUUGAUUUACAAUCUAUGUGCACUCAUGUUUGUUUUAGUAGAAAAUAAUAUUUUCUACCCAUAUAUUCAUUCAGGUAAUGUUGCCAGUCUUGGAAAAAACAUACUAUUUUUACCUCGUGAUUCAAGUAUACUGUGAAAUGACACUCAUACCACGAUCCCAUCACCUUCUACACAUGGUAUAUAUACAUGCCCCAGAAUCAUAGUCCCAUUACAAAAAUAAGGAAAUAUAUUGGAUGUAGAGACAUUUAAAACAUUUGCUUUAUCCCACCAAAAUUAUAUUACCCCUCCCCAAUUCUGGGAGCUCAGGGGUUUCACACACCAAUGAAGGCAAAACCACUCUAGUCUUAAAAAGAAACUUUCCUGCUGUAUCAUAAAAAAUCCAAAUGAGUAAUGAACUAGAAGGAACACAAAUGCAGUUGAAAAUAACAACCAAUUGGAAAGUAUGACCAGAGAUUCACAUCAUGCAUAGGAGAAAAAAAGGAGCAUGACAGCUCAUUAUGAAUAUCCUCUCUUUCCUGAGGAAUUAAGAAGUACAUUGUUGCUGGUACAGACCACUGAGUAUUCCCUUUUGACUAGCCUCUAUUAUUCUAUUCUUACUAACACCUAUGUUUUUCUUGAUAUACAACAUAAAGGAAAUUAUUUUUUGUAGGAAGUCAGAAAGAUCCCAAAACAUAAAACUUGUGGUAUUAAUUGGUAAGAGACCAUGGGCCCAGUAAAGCUCUUUCAUGAUUUGAAUUUAUGUGUUUUAGUAGUUAUUAGAAUCUGGGGGAGAUGAAAGGGUAUUUUCCUUUUAAAUAACAAAACAAAACCAAACAAAAAAUGUAAAAAAUAAAGUCUCAUGAGGAAAGGAACAGCCUGGAAUAAAAGCAUGAACAACAAUUGGGCCUAGAUAAACACAUGGGAGAUACUGUCUCCCUUCAACAAGUAGCCUGUAACCACUAGGGGAAAAUGGAGGGGGCAGGCUGCAGAUUCAGGCAUGAAUGGAGGAUGGGAUGGAAGGAAGGACUUGGGGUAUACAACAAAGACCUCUAAGGGUUCUCACUGCAGUGAAUUGGGGACCAGGUUUUUAGAGAGUGUUUAAUACUUGUUUGUUAACUUUUCAGUUAGGUAAAAGUUGAAACUGAACUAGAAGGAGACCCAGGGCUGUCUACA